CCCAGACUCCUACGGGAGGCAGCAGUGGGGGAUAUUGCACAAUGGGGGAAACCCUGAUGCAGCGACGCCGCGUGGGCGAAGAAGUAUUUAGGUAUGUAAAGCCCUAUCAGCAGGGAAGAAGAAAUGACGGUACCUGAGUAAGAAGCACCGGCUAAAUACGUGCCAGCAGCCGCGGUAAUACGUAUGGUGCAAGCGUUAUCCGGAUUUACUGGGUGUAAAGGGAGCGCAGGCGGCACGGCAAGCCUGAUGUGAAAGCCCGCGGCCCAACCGCGGGACUGCAUUGGGAACUACCGGGCUGGAGUGCCGGAGAGGUAGGCGGAAUUCCUAGUGUAGCGGUGAAAUGCGUAGAUAUUAGGCGGAACACCAGUGGCGAAGGCGGCCUACUGGACGGUGACUGACGCUGAGGCUCGAAAGCGUGUGGAGCAAACAGGAUUAGAUACCCCGGUA
rnacentral:rRNA from 1 species